UUUUCAGUAGCUCAGCGGUAGAGCAAGUGGCUGUUAACCACUGGGUCAUUGGUUCAAAUCCAAUUUGAAAAG
rnacentral:tRNA from 1 species